AUGCCGAGACGUCGGACAAGAGCAGCAACCUCGUCGACAUUCACGUCCCCAGCGAGAAGCGCGAGUACACAACAACCCUCAAAGGGGUUGAGCUCCACGGCAACAAACGCUGGAGAUCGUCUGCACCAGCGUACCAGAAAAGGCCGACGAGGUGAUCUCCAGGCUCUGGAGGAAGCUUGGCGGCAGGAGUCGUAG
rnacentral:rRNA from 1 species